rnacentral:rRNA from 1 species
GCGGGCACGCGAUAGGGGACCUCGAGUGCUGGGUUACAAACCUGGCUGUUGGGCUGCCUAAAAAGCAGUCUAUAGCAAGGGCCGGGCAAGACCGGUGCCAGCCGCCGCGGUAACACCGGCGGCUCGAGUGGUAACCGCU